GGAACUUAAAACUAAACACAAAAGGCAACUUCAAUUGCUCCACGAGAAAGCCCAAAAUCUACGAAAUUUUCAAACACCUUGAGCUUGAGUUAUCCCAAAAAAUUUCCUAGAAUUCAGGAUCUCCUUGGAACGUAGCCAGCGAUGCAUCAAGAUUCUUGCCACCACCUGAGAACAGCUGAUAUUCAUAACAAAUUGCACAAUCACAACCUGAAAUAAACACAAAAGCACCACGUGUAUACCAAGCAAUUGAAAUUUCUAAACUCAUGCACCUAUCAGCAGAAUCAAAAUAAAUCAAAACAAGGAAUAAGGACAUGUCUGAGAGCAGCAUAUAGUUCUAAGCUUGUGAAAAGAAAGAUAGGGAAAAAAAAGAUCACUCAUUUCCACGUAACGACCAACUUCAAAAAUUGUAUGAAAUAGGAUGCUACAUCACAGAGAAUGCAAACCUGGUUCAUAACCACCGACUUACUUUGUGUAUUGUAAUGAGCUAUUAACCUAAGAUUACCAAUUAGCGACACCUAAUUACCAAUUAGCGACACCCAAAAAGAUGCAACAUUAAGAGAAACAAACCGAUGUCGACAAGCCAACUAAGAACCCAAAGUUGUGGCAGCAGAAUCUAUAAAAUAAAUCGAAACAAGGAAUGAGGACAUGUGUGAGAGAGCAUAUACAGGCUUCAAUAAAAAAUAAUGCGAGAGAAAAAAAAGCAUUUCACUUAUUUCCGCAGAACCAACUUAAAACUCUUGCUCACACGAGAAACCCCAAAUCACAACCUCCAUCUGUCAACAGAUCAACUAGAAAUUUUCAAACAGCUUGCUCUUGAGACUUACUUUGUGUAAUGUAAUGAGCUAUUAACAUGAUUACCAAUUCGUGACACCUACCAAAAAGAUGCAACGGUUUAAAAGACAAUCAAAAUCAAAACAAGGGAUAAGGACAUGUCUUGGACAGCAUAUAGGAACUUCAAAAAACCUAACACAAUCUUCCCCAAGAGCGAUCAUCAAACUAGAGAAACUUCUAAAUUGUGACGAAAACCUAUCAACAAAGUUUGUCGGGAAGAAAACCAAAAUUGUAAAGAUUAUAGAUCAACCCUAAGACAAAUUACUCCCAUGAUAAUAAUUCAAUAUUGAAAGAACCCUAAUCCGUGAUGAGGAAUCCCUGCAAACCUCCACCUGUGAGCAGAUCAACUACAUAUUUUCCAAUUUAGAUAGUGACACAAGCCCAGCAAUGUAACUUAAAUCAUUCCAAAUCUCAACGCCAAAUUGCACAAGUAGCAAUGCAUCAAACCUAACACGAAGAAGAACUUCCCUGAAAGCGAUCACCAAGGUCUUGAAAGAACGGUUAUUCCGCAUCCAGGAGUCAACUAACAUACCAAUAUAAACACCUGGACGAAGGGACAGCCUAAACCCUCUGCAUCACCUAAAGAAGAUCCUGGAACCGAUCACCGUCUUCAAAACCUAAGUUGAGUAAAAACCCUUACCUGAAGCAUACGAAAAAUAAACCCUAUGUGUAAAAAUCUUCCACUGGCAACGAUCGAAACCCAGCGAAAAGAAGAUCCUCCCUGAAAGCGUCGCCAACGUAAGAAACCCUAAAAAAUCUUUCAAUCUUCUUGGCUAUUGACAAUUCUGUCACAAAAGAUGCAUCAAAACCAAAAACACAAACAAAACGUUCCUGAAAGCCAUCACCAAGGUAGAGGUAUUGCAAGAAAACCCUCCCUGAAAGGCCUAUAGGCGCAAUGAGAAGCCCUAAUUUGUAACCAAGAAAGUCUUCCAAGCGAUCAACACAUAUUUGGAGAAAAACCAAAUCUGUAAACAAAGAUGACAGAAAUCUUCAACUGGCGCAUCAAAACCAAACACAAAGCAAACCUUCCCUGAAAUCGAUCACCAACGUAUGGAAAGAAAACUAUAGUCAGUCGAGGCGGUGAAAAGGUCUAGUCCUAUCCAAAGUCUGUUGGCCUUAACUCACACAUCUUGCUCUUGAGUUAUCCCAAAAAAACUCAUGAAAGAGAACUACACUUCACCAUGAAACAAGCAUCACCGGCAGAAGCAUAUGUUACUCAGUGCUCAAAUAUCCGCCCAGAAGUGGAAAAACUUGAGAUUGACCUGGUUGACAUAUCCACCGACUUACUUUGUGUAAUGUAAUGAGCUAUUAACCUG
rnacentral:lncRNA from 1 species